rnacentral:tRNA from 1 species
GCCCCGGUGGUGUAGUGGCCUAUCAUAUGGGUCUGUCACACCCAUGACCUGGGUUCAAAUCCCAGCCGGGGCG